rnacentral:rRNA from 1 species
UACGUAGGUGGCAAGCGUUAUCCGGAUUUAUUGGGCGUAAAGGGAACGCAGGCGGUCUUUUAAGUCUGAUGUGAAAGCCUUCGGCUUAACCGGAGUAGUGCAUUGGAAACUGGGAGACUUGAGUGCAGAAGAGGAGAGUGGAACUCCAUGUGUAGCGGUGAAAUGCGUAGAUAUAUGGAAGAACACCAGUGGCGAAAGCGGCUCUCUGUUCUGUAACUGACGCUGAGGUUCGAAAGCGUGGGUAGCAAACAGG